rnacentral:rRNA from 1 species
UGGGGAAUAUUGCACAAUGGGGGAAACCCUGAUGCAGCCAUGCCGCGUGUGUGAAGAAGGCCUUCGGGUUGUAAAGCACUUUCAGCGAGGAGGAAAGGUUGAUGCCUAAUACGCAUCAGCUGUGACGUUACUCGCAGAAGAAGCACCGGCUAACUCCGUGCCAGCAGCCGCGGUAAUCAGGAGGGUGCAAGCGUUAAUCGGCAUUACUGGGCGUAAAGCGCACGCAGGCGGUUGGAUAAGUUAGAUGUGAAAGCCCCGGGCUCAACCUGGGAAUUGCAUGUAAAACUGUCCAGCUAGAGUCUUGUAGAGGGGGGUAGAAGGCCAGGUGUAGCGGUGAAAUGCGUAGAGAUCUGGAGGAAUACCGGUGGCGAAGGCGGCCCCCUGGACAAAGACUGACGCUCAGGUGCGAAAGCGUGGGGAGCAAACA